ensembl:lncRNA
CAGUGAUAAAGGAGUAAUGAGGAGUUAUUUAGCAGUUCAAUGUCUCUGUUUCCUUCAUUUUCUGUGUGGAGGUUUUUAUACAGCAAGAUACUGAAUAACUCUGGUGGACUUCUGGUGGAGGAACCAAACUUAUUUCCAGAACUGACAAGGAGAUGUAUAAAGAGGUGAAAGCAAUAAUGUGACUUCAGAAGAACUGUCAUGACACUACUACAUGUAGGUCUCUGUACUUAUACUCUGUGUUUGUCAUGAUCCUUGUUCCUGAAAAUACAAUGAAACCUGAAGAAAUUAACUGCUAUUCGAAUGACUGAAGAGUUUUGACUUGAUAAAUUGCCAUCACUUUUCCAUCUUCUAUAGUGACAAAUGGAGACGUGACUCAGACACAGCAAUAGUAACCCAUGACUCGAUUUUAGUGGACUUGGGACUCAACUGGCCUCGAGACUUAGUAACUCAACUACAACACUGUUUAGCAGACAAAGCAAUCCAUAGCAAUCAACAGAACUGGCCCCUUUAUGGGAAUCAGACCUUGCUAAGGUAAAGGUUAGGGUUAGGUUUAGAAGUUGGAAGGGUAGGAGUUAAACAUUUUAGUGAUAGGAUAAUGCUUAAUGUUAGGGUAUGAGUGAGUAGAUAGUUAAAAUGUUAAUGUAAGUCAGCAUUAAAAAAAGCAUUAAUGGGGAAUGUGUCCAAUCUACUGAAGUUCCAGAGGGAACCAGUAGGGGGCAUAAGUGAUAAAGCAUUAAUGAGGCCUUACUAAUCAGUUCCAUGUUUCUGUUACUAUUCCCCUUAUUGUCUGUGAGCAGGUUAUUGUACAGUGAGUACAUUACUGUGGUGGACUUUUGGUAUAGGAAACAAGUGGCAUGUUGGCACCCGAACGGGCGACGUCGGGCCGCCCUCCCGUGGGCUCACCACCCACAGGAGGGACCAUAAGGGGCCGGUGCGAAGAGGAUCGGGCGGCAGUCGAAGGCAGGGGCCUAGACAACCCGAUCUCUGGACACGGAAACUAGCUCUAGGGACGUGGAAUGUCACCUCGCUGGCGGGAAGGAGCCUGAGUUAGUGCGUG